UUUUCACGGACGCCAACAUGGCCUGGCCAGAGGAGCCAGGUCGCGUCUUCAGGUGUUUGGAUGGAGCUGCGGGUGCGGUUCUUCAUCGGGUGGCUGAGCUCGAUCAGUGUGUGAAGGAGAACCUGGCUCAUAUCGGGAGGUGUUCAGAGGACCUGGCUUCUGGUGGCUGCUGAAGCUUCUUCUCCAGAUUUGAAGGGCUGCAGUCCUCAGGAGACCCCCAGCGCUUCUAUCCACGGUGGGAUAUCAUGGCUGCUCAAGUGGGGGUUGACAUAUGCAGUUGGUUAAAAGAUCUUCCUGGCGAUUUGAUAUUGUAACACGGAUUCUUCCCAGGUAAUGAUGGUUUUAUCACUUCUAUGAUGACGUGUUUUAAGAGCCAAAAUAUCCCAUGUGUUGGUUACAGGCGUCACUUAGAAUUUUAAAAAGUACUACUUACCUAUAUGCGCUUUUUAAAAAUUCUAAUGAUACCCACUGAGGUCCUUUAUAUUAACCAGGUACUCUUAAAUAGGAUUAUGAUGAUAUUUUCAGGACAUCAAAUCCUCGGGUCUUUACUUGGUGACUGCCUUCCCCUCACCAUGCCCUGUUCCAGGCAACAACUGAUCUGCAAAGUGAUCAGUGUUGAUUUUCUACAAUGUUUUGUAAAUGGAAUCAUGCAGAUUGUAAUUUUGGUGGGUGGUGGGUAGGUGGUCUGGCUUGUUUCACUCAGCCUGUUUACUUAUUUUUAGUUUUUUGAACUAUCUUUGAUUGGAAAUGCAUAUAUAAAGCAUCAGAAACAUUACGUCAGAACACUUGGGAAACACUUCCUUGAUUAUUUAAUACACUAUCCAGUUGAAGAAGACAUCUGUUUGGGUAACAUGAAGAUUUACGUUUUUGUGUGUGCUUCAUCACAAUAUCCAUUUCAUAUGUGCUGAAGAAGAAAUUUCCCCAGAAUUAUCUUCAGAUGUACUAUUAUAAUAAAUAUUUAGCAAAUGAGUAUAACAAGUUGAAGUGGAUGAAACUCUUCACAAAAGGGAUACUGUGGACUUACCGUGUCAUCCCCGAAUUUAUAUGUUGAGACUCUAUUCCCCAGUUUGUAAUAUUAUCUGGAAGUUGGGCCUUUGGAAAGUAAUUAAGUUUAGAUGAGGUUGUGGGGGUGCAGCCCCAAUGGUGGGAUCAGUGCCUUUGUAGUAACAGAGACAAGAGAGAGAUCUCUUGCUCUCUCCCCAUCAUGAGGAGGUGGGUGAGGAUGGAGGGCUGUCUUCCAAACUGGAAGAGGCCCUUCCUCAAACAUUGAGUCUUCGAAUUCCUUAAUCUUGAACUUCCCAGGCUCCAGAACCAUGAGAAAUAAGUUUCUUUUAUAAGCCACAUAGUCUGUGUGGUAUUCUGUUAUAACAGUCUGAACUGACUAAGCCAAAGGACAGUACAUAUGUCAGUAUUUUUCCACUUGUAAAGCACUUUUGGGCUUUGAUGAUGAUAAAGACCAAAGCAUAGAAAUGGAUUGUUUCCUAGACACUUUGUUUUUAUAUCUUCUGCAUUUAACUUCAAGUAUAGGAAAGUUUGAAUGAAAUUAGUAAACACAUGAAAAUUUUUAACUUCAGGAAUGUGUUUUAUAGAUAUUUCAUGUAAUACAUAUCUUUAGAUGUAAUUUAUCGUGUGUGUGUAUGCCAAAAAAUUUGUAAACUUUUCCUAUUACUGAAGAAAUAUAAUAAAUACAGUAUUUUAUACUAAA